rnacentral:rRNA from 1 species
GACGAACGCUGGCGGCGUGCCUAAUACAUGCAAGUAGAACGCACAGUUUAUACCGUAGCUUGCUACACCAUAGACUGUGAGUUGCGAACGGGUGAGUAACGCGUAGGUAACCUGCCUGGUAGCGGGGGAUAACUAUUGGAAACGAUAGCUAAUACCGCAUAAUAUUGAUUAUUGCAUGAUAAUUGAUUGAAAGAUGCUAUUGCAUCACUACCAGAUGGACCUGCGUUGUAUUAGCUAGUAGGUGAGGUAACGGCUCACCUAGGCGACGAUACAUAGCCGACCUGAGAGGGUGAUCGGCCACACUGGGACUGAGACACGGCCCAGACUCCUACGGGAGGCAGCAGUAGGGAAUCUUCGGCAAUGGACGAAAGUCUGACCGAGCAACGCCGCGUGAGUGAAGAAGGUUGUCGGAUCGUAAAGCUCUGUUGUAAGAGAAGAACGGGUGUGAGAGUGGAAAGUUCACACUGUGACGGUAUCUUACCAGAAAGGGACGGCUAACUACGUG